GAUGAACGCUGGCGGCGUGCCUAAUACAUGCAAGUCGAGCGAACAGACGAGGAGCUUGCUCCUCUGACGUUAGCGGCGGACGGGUGAGUAACACGUGGAUAACCUACCUAUAAGACUGGGAUAACUUCGGGAAACCGGAGCUAAUACCGGAUAAUAUAUUGAACCGCAUGGUUCAAUAGUGAAAGACGGUUUUGCUGUCACUUAUAGAUGGAUCCGCGCCGCAUUAGCUAGUUGGUAAGGUAACGGCUUACCAAGGCAACGAUGCGUAGCCGACCUGAGAGGGUGAUCGGCCACCACUGAAAUGAGACACGGGUCAGGAUCCUACGGGAGGGAGGAGGAGGGAAACUUCCGGAAUGGGCGAAAGCCUGACGGAGCAACGCCGCGUGAGUGAUGAAGGUCUUCGGAUCGUAAAACUCUGUUAUUAGGGAAGAACAAAUGUGUAAGUAACUAUGCACGUCUUGACGGUACCGAAUCAGAAAGCCACGGCUAACUACGU
rnacentral:rRNA from 1 species